rnacentral:rRNA from 1 species
CUUGUCUGAAUAUGGGGGGACCAUCCUCCAAGGCUAAAUACUCCUGAAUGACCGAUAGUGAACUAGUACCGUGAGGUAAAGGUGAAAAGAACCCUUAUAAAGGGAGUGAAAUAGAAUCUGAAACCGCUUGCAUACAAGCAGUAUGAGCAUGAUUUAGUCAUGUGACUGCGUACCUUUUGUAUAAUGGGUCAGCGAGUUAUUUUUAGUGGCUAGGAUAACUGAAUAAGGGAUCCGUAGCGAAAGCGAGUUUUAAUAGGGCGACUAGUCGCUAGGAGU